rnacentral:lncRNA from 1 species
AUAACUGUAAUGUAUGAGCAUUAUAAAAUUUCAGAGUACAAAAGUAUAUACAGUGCAAGUUCCUCCCGUUAAUUGUGUCAAUAUCUAGCAUUUUACAUGCACAAAUGAAUAUGCUAAUACAAUUGGAGCUGUUUAUCAAAAAUGGAAUCAUGCUAUCCAGCAAAUCUUCUUCUCUUUACCAGAAUCUAAUUCAAAACUCUUCCUGGGUUAGCGGCUAGAGGUGCUGCAUAGUCUCGAAAAUAGGUACGUAAAACAAAAUAUUUCAAACUGUUAUGUUCAGAAAAGUGUCAUUUUGGGGGAAACUUUCUUGAGAAAAGCUAGUAAGAAUGAGCACACUUUAAUUCCAGAGUCACUUAUUUUUAAAAAGGAAUGUUUCUAGGGGAAGCUAAGUGUGAUUUCAGGCAAAUCAGCCUCUGGAAACUAACACCUGUCUGUAGGAGAAGCUGCAGGUGGGUCAUUACUGCGAUGGCUCCAACUUCAAGAACUGGCUGUUUCCAUUCAAGCCUCCCUCUCCUUGUUUGGACAGGUGUCUUAUCUUCCAAUGAGCUGCAUCUGAUGAAGACCGCUGACAGCAUAAUGGCUGGGAAAACGUCGGACAGCUCCAUAAAAUGGCAGCUAUGUUAUGACAUGUCAGCCAGGACCUGGUGGAUGGUAAGUUUGAUGUGAUCCCAUUAUUUUUCACCUACUCCCCCUCCCCCCAUCCCCGCCACCAAACUUUUCGCCUCCCUGUUUUGUUGUUCCAUGCACGUGUUAUAAAGUUCCCUUGCCUGCGGAAAGUUCAGGCUGAAGUUGUGGGAGCCUGGCGUGGCUCCGCACACCAGUGUGUAAGAUAGGAUUUCCCUGCUAUUGUGGCCAGGGACAUAGGCCUGCUUUAAAAAAAAAAAAAGACAGUGUGAGUUUUUGUUCACUUUUUGAAAAAAG